rnacentral:misc_RNA from 1 species
AAAGUCGUAACAAGGUUUCCGUAGGUGAACCUGCGGAAGGAUCAUUAAAAGGAUGCCGGGAAACCGGUAGACCCCACCCGUGUCUACAUACUCUUGUUGCUUUGGCAGGCCGUGGCCUUCCACCGUGGGCUCUGCCUGCGCGUGCCUGCCAGAGGACCAAACUCUGAAUUUUAGUGAUGUCUGAGUACUAUAUAAUAGUUAAAACUUUCAACAACGGAUCUCUUGGUUCUG